rnacentral:misc_RNA from 1 species
GGUUCGCUCACUUGCUAUUUAGAAAGGAAAUCCAACUCAAAGCAGGCCUACCCUUAGAGUUAAGAAAUCAAGGCAGCCAAAUCCUAACCCUAAAAUUAAGGGACCCAAAACGAGAAUCCAACUGUUGCAGUGUCCCCCACCGUUGAAUUCAGCUAACUGAUAUCGCCGGAGGCCAGAGAGGAGGAUUUCUCUUGUCAAAGCCUUGCUAGCUUGAGCAGAAUCUCCCAAGGACAAAGAAACCAAUUAAACCAAGAACAACCAUCACCUCCAGCAAAAACUCAGGCUCAACCAACCAUCAGCAAAGGAGAAGAGGAGAAUAGAGGGCAUGGCAUUCUAGACAUGGGUAAACCAGUCAUAAACUUUUAGGACGCGUCGAUCUCCUGCCUUCACCCAAAUAAACGGAACAGCACUAAGGAAGAAACAGAGCCAUGAAAACAUGUUUACUUUAACCACAGAGCCACAUCGCAGGACAACAAGAUCCUUUGUCAAAGACACUGAUCCUGCAAAUCAAAACUAUACAAAACCAUUUACAUUAAUUAAUCAAUUGCCCUUUCAUUUUUUUUUUCUUUUCAGUAAGAGAUUAGAGGAGUAAGGACUCAAACUUGAAUUUUGACAAGUGAGUUACAUGCUUUUAGUCACUAUAUCAAAGCCAAGCCAGGUGGAUCUUUUCUUUUACCCACUCAUGACUUGUAGGACGGUACACCGUUCUUAAUUUCUUAUCAAGUAAAUAGGUUCAUGGUUUGGUGUCGCGUCAAAUUUCCACAUAACUUCAUAUUCAAGUGAUAAUUUGAAAACGACGAAAGUAGCCUAUAAUCUUUUAGAAAUGCACUCUUGAGGGUGCCAUUUUACCCAACAGAUUAGCAUCCGACGGUUCUGAAAUCCUGUGGUGGAAUUUGACCUCUUUUUUCUUUGGUUUUUAACUUUGUCUUUACCCCAAAGGAUUGAAAUGCCUGUAUUUUCAAUAAGCUGCAAGGCCACUAUCACACGGGCAGGUCAAUUUGAACAUCAAUUCCAAGUGUGACUUGCUAUUUCACAUGUUGGUUUCUGUAUAUAUUUCUGUAUCAAAUAGAUAAUAUUCGCAAAAUUCUCCAAUAUGGGUGUCUUUUGUAAUGAGGAGCCACCAAAUCCUUCCCGGAAAUGCAAGUUCCUCACUGCAACUUUGAAGGAUGCGUUUUCCAAUUGCCGUACUUGUCGACAGAUUUCAACUUUGAAGCCGGAGGUGGAGUACCCAUCUAGUGACGUAGAUGAUGAGCAGGAAGUACUCACUUUUUGAUUACUGCAGAUAUAAUCUUCUAUUUUCUAUCUUUCCUUGUUAAUCCAUGAAUGUUUUCUGGUUGUGUUAUAUUGUCUUUGAUUGUUUCUUCAGGUUCUUGUUUCAGAAAUCCGAAGCCGUGCCAUGGAGAACUCUAGGCAAAGAUCCUUUGUUCUGACAGAUAGCAUUUCUUGGGUGUUCUCUCCCAGGACUGGGGAACUGUUCUUGGCUCCCAAGAUUUUGCAAGAAAAGGAUGAUGAUGAUGAUGAAGACAAGGAGGAGGAGGAAAGAGAGGAAUUUCUGUCUGUUGCAAGUUGUUUCUCCUGUCGUUCAAAUGCUUUGAGCAAGGAAGUGUUUUUUUCUGUUAAAACAAACCUUUCUCGCUGCUCAAGCUUCAGUGAGCUUCUUGAGCUACAAGAUUUUCCAAGGCGUUCCAUACUUCAGGAGCUGUGUCACUGCGAAGGAUGGCCAUUUGGUCUCUGCAGGAAGGCUGUGUUGCUUCCACCGUUGCCCAAAUCCCCUUCUGAAUCUUGGUCUUGGCGUAAAGGCAGCAGAAUAGUUAAGGUCGCUCGAAUUUAGCACCCUUCAUUCUAGCCCUAGUAAUGGAGGCAAGCAGAAAAACUAAUGAAUAAGGAUCACAAGUAUAGAAAAGUUUAUUCUUAUAUUGAAUCUUGAAAGAUAGUUGAGAUUAUCUGUUUCAUGAAUCCUAUUUCCAUCCGCUAUGUUCGAGGCUAAUGAAACUAGAGGCCUAGUUAUACAAGACUGAAGAAUCUCUCUACCAAUUCUCUAUUUUUGGCCGUUCUAGAUAGGAAGCACAACUAGUGGCCAUCCUUAUAAUUAGAUGAGCUGAGAUUUCCAUUGUAAUUUAAAUUAGAAACAUCCACAGAGAUCAGGGAGGCAACAAAGCUCCAGAAUAUGAAUAUAUGAUACAACAACAGCUGGACUCAAAAUCAGAUUUUGUAGAGGACUGCAUUUGAGAGAAAGUGUAUCAAUCACUUUUCUAUUGCAAAAUGAAGUGUGAUUUUCAUUGAGUUUUGAUUCAGAAGGCAUUACAAUUCUCAAAGUGAACUUAAACCAAUCUAUAGGGCAAUAUUAAGAAGGCCAUACAAAAACUCCUAGUGUUAAGCUUGUUAUUUCAUCCAAAAUAUGCAGCAACAGAAUUACUCAUACAAGUAGCUCAAGGCAUCUCAUAAUUAAAUUAAGCCAAGAAGAAGUUAUCAUUUAAAAGAACUCUUCCCUUUCUUUUGAAAAAAAAUGAUUUUAAAAGAAUGAUCAUAUGACAAUUAGCAUUUAUUAGAUUGUUUCAUCGUACAACACAAAAAUUAUGCAUGUGUCAUCCAACCACUUUUAGAUCUCAAUUCAUCAACAUAUCAACAUCAUUUUCUACAAGGGUCCGGAAAUCACAGGGCUAAUUAAUUACUGGCACCAGACAAUCAAAUUACACUUCUAGUCUUCAUUUCAGAUUAACAAAAUGCAAAAUAUUGCACUUCAUAAAAAAACAAAUACAAACCAGUUAAAGAGCUAUAGUUAACGACUUUCAAUCCUCAUGAUACAACAUAUUGCAUGACCAUUUCAUUAUUAGCAAUAGCUUAUUUCAUUAUACCUAUGGUUUAAGAAAAAACAGGAGCGAAGUCAUUAUUAGCCAUCAUAAAAUACAUAUAUAAAAAAGAAAAUUUUCAAACAGGAUGAAAAAUAUGAUUUUAAAUUAUGGACAAAAAUAAGCUCUUAUUUAAUGGCUAUCUACUCCAACUUAGUUUUUCUUGGAGGGGAUACAGUAACCUGUCUCCAACUAUUCAAAAACAUGAUUCCAAACAAAAGUUCACAAUCACAUCAAACCUUUCCUAAGUUGUGGCUCUUAUUUAGCUCUCUGCUCAACAUAAGAACCAGCAAGUCCAGAAGUACCAAGAACAGUAACCUUUCCCCACUCUGAACCAAGCCCACUGCAUCUCAUCUUCAAGUAUAUCAUCUUUGAUCCCAACUCUGUCUCUACUUUCUUCCGCAAAUAACCCUCAUCAGGUCCAAAUGCAUCCAAAUAGGCAGAAUAUCGUUCAAAAACAGUACGAAGUGCAUUGGCAAAAUCAUUUGGUAAAGGUUUUACAUCCUCACCACUCAAUCCAAUGCUGUCAUCAAGUUCCAUUUUCAUAGAAAUAAGCCUGCCACCAAAUUCCUCAACAGCUUCAGCUGCACAGAAAACAUUCUUCAAAAUUUCUUGGCCAGCUUUGUCAUCAGUGUCUUUAGACAACACAAUCUUUACAUCGUGGAUGACAGCAUCAUGAAGCUCGUCCCAACUUGCAGCCAUCAAGUCCUUGAAAACAUUUUGAAUUUCAGGAUCUUGUAUGACAGGCAUGCGAGCUACAUCCUGACUAAAAUAUCGUAUGCUUCCAAUGCCCAUUGUAAGAGAAGAUCUGAAAU